ACGGGUGAGGAAUACAUCGGAAUUUGCCCUGUCGUGGGGGAUAACGUAGGGAAACUUACGCUAAUACCGCAUACGACCUAACGGUGAAAGCGGGGGAUCGCAAGACCUCGCGCGGUUGGAUAAGCCGAUGUCAGAUUAGCUAGUUGGCGGGGUAAAGGCCCACCAAGGCGACGAUCUGUAGCUGGUCUGAGAGGAUGAUCAGCCACACUGGGACUGAGACACGGCCCAGACUCCUACGGGAGGCAGCAGUGGGGAAUAUUGGACAAUGGGGGCAACCCUGAUCCAGCAAUGCCGCGUGUGUGAAGAAGGCCUUCGGGUUGUAAAGCACUUUUAUCAGGAGCGAAACACGUAAGGUUAAUAACCUUGCGGACUGACGGUACCUGAGGAAUAAGCACCGGCUAACUUCGUGCCAGCAGCCGCGGUAAUACGAAGGGUGCAAGCGUUACUCGGAAUUACUGGGCGUAAAGCGUGCGUAGGUGGUUUCUUAAGUCUGCUGUGAAAGCCCCGGGCUCAACCUGGGAAUUGCAGUGGAUACUGGGGAGCUAGAGUGCGGUAGAGGGUAGUGGAAUUCCCGGUGUAGCGGUG
rnacentral:rRNA from 1 species